rnacentral:lncRNA from 1 species
UCCUGGAAGCGGAAUGUGGUUGGGCAGAUGGUGCUCUUUUGUUUCACUAGAAGAAACGAUAAGAUGUAAAUAUGCACGGCCGGCUUCAGCAGGGCAGGAUGGAGAAGGGGCUCCUGUCUCCGUGGGCUCGCUGAUUUUCUCGGCAGGUUGGGGUUUUUCCUCUCUAAGUUGCAUCGAUCGUCCUUGCUGGGUUCCAAAAAUUUAGACAGACAGUUCGCAAUCGGGGUUCAGGAGUUCUUUAGAGUUCCAUAAAUGGGCCACCAGGGAGUCUGUGAAUUCCCUUACCUCGCUUGAUACUAGGUUGUUGGAGUAUGCAUUUUCUACGGUGGCUUCUCUAUUUUUCGAGAUGUGAGUAAGAGACUCAAUGUCCACUGCCGUCUUGCCUCUUCCCUCCACACCGUCCACAGUUUGUGUGACGUUCCACAUGGCUUUGCAGAGCUCGUUCCUACCACCACCUCACAUUUGCAUGGCGUUGGAGACUCUUCAAACUCUUUCCCAUGAAACAAUCUUGUUCGAUUCAGUGACAAGGGCAGAACCAGUAGCCCUAUUUUACAGCAGAGGAAAAGAAACUUAGAGCUGCGACCCAGCUGCCUUGUGGACCCAUGCACAACGGGGCAGGGGUCGGGCAGGCAUUUCUCAUCACCUCUGAUGAUCCCUAGUCUGGUGAGACUUCUGCUCCUGUUUUUUGCCCUCAUUUGGGGCUGGGGGGGCGGGGCGUGGUGAGCCCAAAAAUUGUUAUUAGUAUUUGGUAUCAUUGAGGAUUGGGGGCAUUUGAGUCUAAGACAUAUAUGAAAUGAAAAAGGGAACCAGAGCAGACCAGACGUCACCAUGCUUCUCAUUCUAAUUCAUUAUAUACAUUUGACUCCCUCACAGGUCAUUUUGAAGCAAAAGUAUUUUAUUUAGCUCUGCGUGUUCAGUGCCAAAACAGAGCCCUUCUGGUACAUAGGAGAUGCUCCAAUACUUGAGGUAUACAUGAGUGACUGCAAGUGUGGAAUAACAAACUAGAACUAGAUGUACAGGGAUAAAUUGCCUUACUGUCCAGAAACCUACUGGAAGGCUAGCAUGAGUUCUCAGAAAGAGCUUGGCUAAAGUUUUUGAAAUGGCCACCCAAAAUUACAGGAUGAUGGCAAAGUUUGCUGGAAGACUUUUGGCCAGGAAAUAGUAAACCUCAUUGAUGGAGAGGUUCCCGUUCCCCGUGGCCCUAGAUCAGAGGUACGGACCACCCCAUCUUGACGUCACUAUUGAACUAGCUCUUAGGUUGUUAGGCCUAGUGAGUUGUGCUCCUAAUGAGAUAAGCUGUUCUUAAGCCAGUGACACUCUCCUGGGUGCGAGACAGAAAGACCUCUUUCCUCUAAAAACCAGCUUCCAAAUUCCAACAACCAAAACAAGGAUGAGAUGGUGCUGUGAAGACAUGCCCCAAAGCGCUCUCGAGAAGGAGAAGCGGGGGAUGGGAGGCUGCUGCAAUGAGCACUGUUAAGUCCAGAUUCCAAAUGAAACAGGAGGCAGAUAAAUGGUACAGGAGGGUUUCAAGGAAGGGGGUGGGGGGGUAACCCCAGUCUGACCCUUGGAUCCAGCAGGAAUCCCAGCUGGGCUGCCCUUUUUCGCACAGUUGGAAGGGUCAGUCUUACACAUUUAAAAUGUGGUUCUCAAAAAAAAAAAAAAGGUCAUCUAUCUUUAUCAUAAAUCUUGGUAUUAUAUGAUAUGGGGUAAAUUUCUACAAAAGGAACCCCCACUGACAGUCUUGUACAUUUUUAAAGUAAAAUGUUUUCUUCCUCAGUUGAUGAACAGAGACCUUUCACCCCAGCAAUCGGUGAUUCAUCAAGAGGGGGUCACCUCUAUUAACUUUGGUUAAUACAAGGUUUUUUCUUGGGAGUGGGAAAUUUUGUUUUUAAUCUUUAAACUUGGGAAACUGGUUUAAAGAUAUGGCCCAGCCAUAUCUUUUGUUGAAAAGACUUUGCAUUACAGAGGGGGAUCUUUCAGGGUUGCCGACCUGCCCUCCCUCCCAGAGGUGAUAGCAUCUGAAAGCCCCAUGUCUGUAUCUGUGCCUAGUUACUUAGUGCCAGUUAGCACUGACUUUUAUACAACAUGCAGGUCCCAGCUCUUUUCUUUCACAGGGACAGCUUUUCCCUGUGACAGAGAGAUUGCCAAGAGGAGUCUAAAAACACAUCUAAAGCAUUUUGCCCGCGCUCUGGUCAAUAAACUUGAAAGAACAGAGACUGGGACCAGAUCAAAAUAAACACAUUGAACUAAAAUUUUCAGAGACCUAGCAUUGCACAUCCUGGCUGGAGGGGGCGUAGACUAGAAUUCUUGAAUUCUCUUAGGGAAAUAAUGGUACACAAGCAAAUCUUAGAAAACAUCUUUCCUAAAAUAUUUUCUAUUGAGCCUUCAGCCAAUCCCCAGGGACUUACCGGAGCUGCAGGGAAGCAUCACCCAAUGUGAGGAUGUCAUGGAGAAAAACCCCCGUCCUCUGACUCAGAGACAGGCUCCCAAAUCUUACACCCUCGAUAUCCUAUGGGCUCCUGAGACCAACAGAGCGAACUAGGACAUCACAUUUGCUCCCACGGUACAGAAAGGAAAUUAAGGCACUGCCAUUCAUUCUUGGGGCCUACACUCCCUUGUCUGUAUACUUGACACUCUUUCAAAGCGUCUAGGUAAGCAAGGACUUGUUUUCUUAAAUUUCUUGGUUAAAAAGAACCUCAGUGAGGGCCUCGUCUUCAUUCUACAGACCAUGUCUUCCAAACACUCCUCUGUCUUCCCCAAGAUUGCACAUAUAUUUAUGCACAUAUAUACUCAUAUAUGUGUGUGUGUGUGUGAAUUAGAAAACAUAGAUUCUAGAGCUUGAACUUGAUCUUGCUCACCAGCCCAAAACCUGUUUCCUCAUCUAUACAUUCAGAUAAUCAGAUCUCUUUUGCAUAACCUAAAAGGGCUUUUAGUUAUCUAACAAGAUCCUGAAUCCCUUUUCCAAGAUACAAAUACCUCUGAAACACCUACUCUGUGCCAGGAACUUUCCGGGGCUCUGAAAGGACAGUGGUGAACAAGACUCAGUAACUCACUCCUCCUAAGGAAGUUGGCAGUCUUAACCAGACAUAACCACACACCCACAUGCUUAAAGACUGCCAUGGAAAAGUAGGAAUGGGAUGGUCUGAGGGUUGUAGCAGAAAGUGCAGAGAGCUCCAAUGACAUUGGGGAGAGGAAGUUGGGAAGGUUUCCAACAAGGAAACUGAGGAAAAUUAAAUCUGAGCUGAAACUUUCAAGAAGAGGAACAUAAUGCCAUGAUCUUAACACGUGCUAGCGCAGGCCUCAGAAUCUUGGCCUUGACAUUCUGUUGGUCUGAAGAUCUGUAUAAUCUCAGUAUCUUGUUCUGGCGGUGCUCCUAGCAUCUUCCAGGAUGGGCGGGGGGUGGGCGCACGCUGCCCAAGAGAACUCAGGGUGGUUGGUUCCUCGUUGUCAUAUUCUCGGGAACAGAGGAAGAAGGAGAAUGUUGCAGGCACCCCCACUUCCAAAGGAAGAAACAUGUCAGUGGUACCCACUCAUGUCCUCUCUACUUAGGGACAGCAGCAGGACUCCUACUCCUCGUGGUCCAGACGCCAGAGGGAGAGGCAUGUUAGAGCAUCCCACACACUUGAGGAUGCCAUGGGAGAUGGGUCAAGAGCACCUCCCUGAGGUCCUACUGUGGAUCGGGAGGUUGAAAACCCCACCUGGUGUCUAUGAGGAUGUGGGAGUCCAUCACUGGCCUCACUCAGUGGGUUAAGGAUCUGACAUUGCCAUGAGCUUCAAUAUAGGUCGAAGAUGAGGCUCAGAUCUGGCGUUGCUGUGGCUGGGGCAUAGGCCAGCAGCUGCAGCUCUAAUUCAACCCCUAGCCUGGGAGCUUCCAUAUGCCGCAGGUGCAGCCCUUAAAAAGAAAAAAAAAAAAAAA